GCGUAAAGGGCGCGUAGGCGGCUUUGCAAGUCAGUAGUGGAAGUCCAUUUUUCAAGGAUGGAAGUGCUACAGAAACUGCGGAGCUUGAGUGCAGGAGAGGUUAUCGGAAUUCCCGGUGUAGCGGUGAAAUGCGUAGAGAUCGGGAGGAACACCAGUGGCGAAGGCGGGUAACUGGACUGCAACUGACGCUGAGGCGCGAAAGUGUGGGGAGCAAACAGGAUUAGAUACCCUGGUAGUCCACACUGUAAACGAUGAAUGCUAGGUGUAGGAGGUAUCGACCCCUUCUGUGCCGCAGUAAACACAGUAAGCAUUCCGCCUGGGGAGUACGGUCGCAAGAUUAAAACUCAAAGGGAUUGACGGGGGCCCGCACAAGCAGCGGAGCAUGUGGUUUAAUUCGAAGCAACGCGAAGAACCUUACCAGGUCUUGACAUCCAGUUAAACUUGUAGAGAUAUGAGGUCCCUUCGGGGGAACUGAGACAGGUGGUGCAUGGUUGUCGUCAGCUCGUGUCGUGAGAUGUUGGGUUAAGUCCCGCAACGAGCGCAACCCUUGCCAAUAGUUACUAACGAGUGAAGUCGAGGACUCUAUUGGGACCGCCGGGGACAACUCGGAGGAAGGUGGGGACGACGUCAAAUCAUCAUGCCCCUUACGACCUGGGCUACACACGUGCUACAAUGGCCGAGACAGAGAGCGGCGAAGGAGCGAUCUGGAGCGAAUCUCAAAAAAGCGGUCACAGUUCGGAUCGUGGGCUGCAACCCGCCCACAUGAAGCAGGAGUUGCUAGUAAUCGCGAAUCAGCAUGUCGCGGUGAAUACGUUCCCGGGCCUUGUACACACCGCCCGUCACACCAUGGGAGUUGGUAGCACCCGAAGGCAGAGAGCUAACCGCAAGGAGGCAUCUGACGAAGGUGAGAUCAAUGAGCUGGGGUGAAGUCGUAACAAGGUAACCGUA
rnacentral:rRNA from 1 species